GAUUGGAUUCCUUUCUGACUGCUUUAGCCACUAGUCCAUCCCUCUCUUGAGAGCCUUGCUAGGGCAGAGGUGAGCCCCAAGGAGCAGCAGGGGGAGAGCUUUGCUCCACCCUCUGUGCUGAGGUUUAGAGGCUGCUUUGAGCUGGCAGAGGGGGAAGUGAACUUGCAAGCUUGAGCUCCCUCUUUCCAGGCACUACGUGGGCACCCUGUGAAGGCGAGAGCGUGACAUGGUCCUGCUUUUCCUGGCAGCCUUGUUGGCACUGUCAGACUUUGGUCAUGCACAGAAGGACUCUGUGGUGCAGUUUGCACAAGAAACUGCCAUCCAGGUGGGACACAACGCUACUCUGCACUGCAAUUUCUCCACCAGCUACUCUGCUCCCUACAUCUUCUGGUACCAGCAGCGCCUGACCCAGUCCCCUCAGUUCUUGCUGCAGGUGAGCAAGUUCAAGCCUCAUGUGCAUUCUGAGAGGAUCUCCUCUGUGCUCUCCAUGGAGAACUCCCAGGUGCUUCUCCACGUGCAAGAUGCCAAGCUCCAGGACAGCGCUGUCUACCUGUGUGCACUGAGCCCACACUGGUGCCCUCAGCUUGCAGCUUUAUACAGGAAGGUGUGGGUGCUGUGAGGUGCAGUUCCGUCUCAUCACAGUUUGCAUAGCGCUCUGAGCUGAGCCUGCCCAGCAAGGACACCUGGGGCUUGUGGUGAGCCAGGUGUGAGUGGCAGCCCCUGCUCCUGAUGCCUGGCAGUGUGGUUAGCAUAACCAACAGCAAGGCAAAUAUCCAUCAUGUGGAAGGGGCUGUUAAUGUGCACCCCUGCCUCCUUGUCUCUCCCUCUCACUGGCCCCAGCAUGCCGAGAUACCCACCAUUGUGGCGAGAAAGGGCAUUGGUGUUAUCAAGCUAGUAAUCAAACCAGCAAUUUAUUUGUAGUAAGCUUUAGGAUUUUGUAGUAAUUUUUAGUAUUUCUAGUAAUUUAUUAUAUAAUAAUAAAUCUCUAGUUACAACCACAACCAGUGGCCGGUCCUCAUUCCGCCAAGGAUCCGUAGAGAACCUGCCAGUGCUCUGUAGUGUUGGGAGACAGAGCUGGGUGUAGUCAGCAGGAGCCUUGUGUUAGAAUAAUGAAUGGUUCCCUUGAGAAAUGGGCCCCACUGUGAAAGGGUUUUCUUGGAAAUGGAAGGCAAGAUGCAAAGCAGCAAUGGCUAAGCUCAAUACACCACAAUCCAAAUCCUUCUAGGAAUGAAUUUAAUAAAUGGAAAGAUACAUGUACAGUAAGGAAAGAGAAAAGGAAAGAAGGAGAGUUAGCUGGCUGUUAGCUGCAAUGUGGAAAAUUGAGAAGGAGUGGGCUGGAAGGCGAUCAGGCCCAGUCAGCAUGAGUUUAUGAAAGGCAGGUCCUGCUUGACGAACCUGAUCUCCUUCUAUGACACAGUGACGCUCUGGGUGGAUGAGGGAAAGGCUGUGGAUGUGGU